UACAGAGGUCCCGAGCGUUGUUCGGAUCCACUGGGCGUAAAGGGUGCGUAGGUGGUGAGGAAAGUCGGAUGUGAAAUCUCCAAGCUCAACUUGGAAAUGGCAUUGGAAACUACCUUGCUGGAGGUUUGGAGGGGGGACUGGAAUACUUGGUGUAGCAGUGAAAUGCGUAGAUAUCAAGUGGAACACCAGUGGCGAAGGCGAGUCCCUGGACAACACCUGACACUGAGGCACGAAAGCUAGGGGAGCAAACAGG
rnacentral:rRNA from 1 species